rnacentral:rRNA from 1 species
AGCGAACGCUGGCGGCAGGCUUAACACAUGCAAGUCGAACGGAUCCUUCGGGAUUAGUGGCGGACGGGUGAGUAACACGUGGGAACGUGCCUUUUGGUUCGGAACAACACAGGGAAACUUGUGCUAAUACCGGAUGUGCCCUUCGGGGAAAGGAUUUAUCGCCAUUAGAGCGGCCCGCGUCUGAUUAGCUAGUUGGUGAGGUAAAGGCUCACCAAGGCUACGAUCAGUAGCUGGUCNGAGAGGAUGAUCAGCCACACUGGGACUGAGACACGGCCCAGACUCCUACGGGAGGCAGCAGUGGGGAAUCUUGCGCAAUGGGGGAAACCCGUGACGCAGCCAUGCCGCGUGAAUGAUGAAGGUCUUAGGAUUGUAAAAUUCUUUCAGCGGGACGAUAAUGACGGUACCCGCAGAAGAAGCU